GGGCGCGGCACCGUCGCUCUCACCCUGGCGGAGUGCAGCAACACAGUGGAGCGGCACCAGCGGGACACUCUGGACAACGCAGCCAAGGCUGUUGCCCCGCUCGCCCGACUCGUUGAGAGGCUUGCCCACCCCCCAGGGCGUUGUCGUGAAGAUACCGCUGGGAGGAAGAAUAUCUCACAAUACUGGAAGAGGUGGCUCUGGAAUAACCCUUCAACCCCUCACCUGGGGUCGGGGGGGGGGAACUCGGCCUCUCAACGGUCCCGGUUCUCUCUCUAACUCAGGGUGGCACCCCCUGUCGACUCGUGCCCGCAACUACAGG